UGGGCGAAAGCCUGAUCCAGCCAUGCCGCGUGUGUGAAGAAGGUCUUCGGAUUGUAAAGCACUUUAAGUUGGGAGGAAGGGCAGUAACUUAAUACGUUGCUGCUUUGACGUUACCGACAGAAUAAGCACCGGCUAACUUCGUGCCAGCAGCCGCGGUAAUACGAAGGGUGCAAGCGUUAAUCGGAAUUACUGGGCGUAAAGCGCGCGUAGGUGGUUCAGUAAGUUGGAUGUGAAAUCCCCGGGCUCAACCUGGGAACUGCAUCCAAAACUGCUGAGCUAGAGUACGGUAGAGGGUGGUGGAAUUUCCUGUGUAGCGGUGAAAUGCGUAGAUAUAGGAAGGAACACCAGUGGCGAAGGCGACCACCUGGACUGAUACUGACACUGAGGUGCGAAAGCGUG
rnacentral:rRNA from 1 species